rnacentral:rRNA from 1 species
CGAAAGCCUGACGGAGCAACGCCGCGUGAGGGAAGAAUGCCUGUGGGUUGUAAACCUCUUUUCUCAGGGAAGAAGAACUGACGGUACCUGAGGAAUCAGCAUCGGCUAACUCCGUGCCAGCAGCCGCGGUAAUACGGAGGAUGCAAGCGUUAUCCGGAAUUAUUGGGCGUAAAGCGUCCGCAGGUGGUGAUUCAAGUCUGCUGUCAAAGAGUGGAGCUUAACUUCAUAAAGGCAGUGGAAACUGAAUAACUAGAGUGCGGUAGGGGUAGAGGGAAUUCCAGGUGUAGCGGUGAAAUGCGUAGAUAUUGGGAAGAACACCGGUGGCGAAAGCGCUCUACUGGGCUACAACUGACGCUGAUGGACGAAAGCUAGGGGAGCG